CCUACGGGUGGCAGCAGUGAGGAAUAUUGGUCAAUGGACGCAAGCCUGAACCAGCCACGCCGCGUGCAGGAAGACGGCUCUAUGAGUUGUAAACUGCUUUUGUACGGGAGUAAACGCAGAUACGUGUAUCUGUCUGAAAGUGUCUUACAAAUAAGGAUCGGCUAACUCCGUGCCAGCAGCCGCGGGAAUACGGAGGAUUCAAGCGUUAUCCGGAUUUAUUGGGUGUAAAGGGUGCGUAGGCGGUCGGAUAAGUUAGAGGUGAAAUCCCGAGGCUCAACUUCGGUAUUGCCGCUGAUACUGGUCGGCUAGAGAGUAGUAGCGGUAGGCGGAAUGCAGGGUGUAGCGGUGAAAUGCGUAGAGAUCAGACAGAACACCGAUUGCGAAGGCAGCUUACCAAGCUACUUCUGACGCUGAGGCACGAAAGUGUGGGGAGCAAACAGGAUUAGAUACCCGGGUAGUC
rnacentral:rRNA from 1 species